rnacentral:rRNA from 1 species
UACGUAGGGGGCAAGCGUUGUCCGGAGUCAUUGGGCGUAAAGCGCGUGUAGGCGGCCCGGUAAGUCCGCUGUGAAAGUCCAGGGCUCAACCCUGGGAUGCCGGUGGAUACUGUCGGGCUCGAGUCCGGAAGAGGCGAGUGGAAUUCCUGGUGUAGCGGUGAAAUGCGCAGAUAUCAGGAGGAACACCGAUGGCGAAGGCAGCUCGCUGGGACGUGACUGACGCUGAGACGCGAAAGCGUGGGGAGCAAACAGG